UUGCAGAUAUGUACGUGAUGGGAAUGCGAGUGGAAGUUACGAGUCUAGAAAAUUUGUCAAAGGCAAAGAUUGAGGAAGAGGUGAUUAUACAGUUACAAGAGGAGCUGAUGAAGCUUGGAGUUCCCAGCAACGUCACCAUGCAUCUGAGAGACUAUUAUAAGAUCAAACCCUGAUGAAGGAGGACAGCGCUUUACUGUUUCCACAUUUUAGAGUUUUAGACUCAGUACUUACUACUUGUAUAAAAUAUAACUGUACUGUCUUUACUUUUAUAAAUGAAUGAUCUUAAUCAUGAUAAUAAUCUUAUCUUAAAAUAUCCAUAAUUAACAGGUUCUGUGUUUAGUGCGUCAGUUCUUUUGCCAUUUAUUUACAGUUAUCAGUUGCAUUAUGAGACUUUUAUCUCUGCUCUGUCAACUUUUGAUGUUAAAAAUUCAACUGAACAACAACAAAGGGACUUUGAUUGACAUUUUAGUAGUGUGAAAAUAUGUACCAUAAAAUAAAUAUUAUAUAGACCAGUGUUUCCCAACCCUGUUCCUGGAGGCACACCAACAGUUCAUGUUUUGGAUGUCUCCCUCAUCUGACCCAUUAACUUCAGGUUUUGGAGUCUCUUCCAAUGUUCUGAUGAGUUGUUUCAGGUGUGUUUGAUUGGGGAGAGAAUGAAAAUGUGUACUGUUGGUGUGCCUUUAGGAACAGGGUUGGGAAACUCUGAUAUAGACUAUAUUAAGUCUAUAUCAAUAUUAGAAAGAGUACUGGCAGUGUAUUACCAGGGUUGUUUUUGUACAUAAUUUACAACAACAACCCAGGAAAUAUACCACUUCAAACUAUUAAAAAUGAUAAUAAAAGCCAUUUUUUUCCAACUGUUCAACUUUAAAAUUUGAAAAUUGCUAUUCGAAUGCAUAAAUAAAUGAGGAAAAAAUAUAUAAAUCAUAAAGUAUGGAUCACCCUUAAUUUGCAGAUAUUUUUACAGUGUAUCUUUUUCCCAUAAUGAAAUAUUAUAUCAUUGCAUUUAUCGUUUUAAAGGACUAAUUAGUAAAGUGUUUCAUAUCAAAAUUGAUUGAGCUUGAAUUUAAUGAUUGGGUUUAUGGACUACAUAUAGUUUGAUCAAUAGCUGUUAAUCGAAAGGUAUGUAAGAUGAAACAAUAUUUACAAUAAAUUGGUAUCAUGAUGGCAUAUAUAUAUUAGUAUACUUAUAGGUGCUUGUUUUGAAAUGGUUUUGCUUUGAAUAUACAGAGGGGAAAGCUAUGUGUGUAAAUUGAAAUAAACUGUGAAGUUUUAAAAGGAA